AUCAGCUAUGCAUUGGGCUUGUAUAUAACAGAAGCAGACUGAAGCAAUGAGUGCAGAAGUAGCCAUUGCUCUCGAAAAUUCAAGCAAAACGAAGGCAGCAGUAUGCCAAGAGCCGCAUUACUUAGGAUUUCAUCAAAGCACACUCAACACCCUGCCACAAAACAAGAGAUAAUGAUUCCUCUCGCUAUUUCUAUGUUAAAACUAGAACUGAAAUUACAAUGACAAAACAAGUGAACUUCCUGCCAUGCCAAAACACGUAGCUGAGCUUUCUUUUAGGUAUAGAGUUAGGUAUAGUCUUCCCAUAUUUUUGAGUUAGGUUUAAUUUUUGUCUUGCCUUUUCUCCCGAGGAUCAUCGCACCAUAAGAAGAAAUGUCUGGACGCGGAAAGGGAGGCGAGGACUGGCGAAGGAAGGCGCGGAACGUGAGCGAACGGGCUUCGCAGUCUUCUAUGACAAGCAAUGUCUGGACGUUACCGGUACCGUCACCGAAGGCGCUUCACAACAUCCGGGGAGACAGUGGUCCUGGCGGAAGGCGUCUUAGCAUCGUGGCUGGAUUUCAGAAGCCUCUGAGAUUACAAAUGUCUGGACGCCAUAAGGAAGCAGAGGUCAAGCGCGCGUCACCGUCACUGACAUGACAAUAUCGUGCUUCGUGACAACACCACGUGCAUCACCAAGAAGGUGGACAGUCUUUCCUAUAAUAAGUUGUUUGUGUUGUACAAUAUUGUCUGAAUGCAGUAGCAUAGCAAUAUUUGUUAUUUUUUAACAUUACACUGAACCAAGGAGAUUCAAUCAAACCUCCUUGAUUAAACCUGUGUUUGAGAAUAUAUAAAGUUUAUUGCAAAUUCU